rnacentral:rRNA from 1 species
CACUGACAUUAGAUACCCCUGUAGUCCCAGCCGUAAACAAUGUGCGUUAGGUGUGUCGGUAACCACGCGUUACUGAUGCGCCGAAGAGAAAUCGUGAAACGCACCACCUGGGAAGUACGGUCGCAAGGCUGAAACUUAAAGGAGUUGGCGGGGAGCACCACAACAGGUGGAGCCUGCGGUUUAAUUGGAUUCAACGCCGGACAUCUCACCGGAUAAGACAGCUGAAUGAUUGUCAAUCUGAAGGUUUUACAUGACUAGCUG